GAGCGGAGCCCGGGUGCGAGUUGGAAGUUUCUGGGGGGCGCCCACGCCUCUCCAGGGCCGCCUUUUCAAAUUCGGCGAGGUGGGCUCAGCUCCGUCAAAGGGGGCGUGGGGCUUUUUCAUUAACCCUCGGCGGUCCGGGGCCGAGGAGGCGGCAGUGGCUGCAGAGCUGGGGGUCCGGGGGGUGGGGAGGGAGCCGCGUGCCCGGAAAGCCAGACGUCGCGCCUGCGUCCUCGCGCACGCACUCUAGAACCUUCCCAACCAAGCCCUCUUCGGGUCCGCAAACGCUCGUGGGAUCCCCGCUGCAUGCCUGGCAAUUUCACCUGGGCGAUUUUAAUCCCCACAACGUUGCCCUCGGUAUUAGAUGCCACCAUUCCCAUUUUUUAGAGGCGGAAGCAGAGGCCCAAAAGAGUUAAGCCGGAAAAAGAGCACGCUCUUGGUCUAGGGCCCUUUGGACAAAACUACUUCACACCCAGGCUUCCUUAGAAUCUUCUCCUUUUUCACCUCCACCCUCUACCUUGCCAAUUCUCUCUCUCUCCAAGGCACCUGUGGAUAUACCCAGCCUUACUGAGCUGUCACUCUUGUACGUAAGAUUUUCAGCUGCCACCCCCCCCCCACCCAAGAUGGGGCCGCGGGAGCCAAGAAGAACGGAGAAGGGUUCAAUAGCAAUACACUCUAAACUCCCCCCAGAGAACACCAACAAAAAGCAGAUCUUCUGUUCUGCUGAAGUCAGCAGAGAGAGCCACUGAACAGAGAAGUAAUACUCAUCAAGCUGAAGCCAAGGUAAAUAUUGACCUUCCGGCAUGAUAAACCCUCCUGUUAAUCUAAAACAGAAAUCUUCCCCUCCCCCGCCCAGUGCCCUAUUGCACAUGGAUUCUCCGGUUCCCCCCAGAAGUUCAGGGAGGCCGCAUAGGAACGGAGACGUUUUCACAUUGAUUUCUCCAACAGCCCGUAAUCCCAGCUGUUCCAGAUCCCAAGACGGCACAGAAAUGGGCAGGGUUGACUCCAGGUCGCAGGACGGUCACAGCGGAACUGCUCCAAGCUUUUUGUCCUUGGGCCGGGGCAGAGUGGGAGCCAAACAUGGACACUCUGCAAGAUGCGAACCCUGAAUUUUUCUCCUUUCCCCCACACACCCCCACAGGUGUCCACCCGGGCCCUAUAAACAGGAACGCUGCUUUGCCCAGCACACCUGCAAGUGUAAGCCUACCUGUUUCCCCCAAACACCGGCAGUGAGAUAGAUGUUCAGAAGACGGCGAAUUUGACGGCUGCCACAACAGCCCAUGACCUUAAACAGAAGUUUGAAGGGGUGGGGGGGAGGGGGAGUGUCAAAAACAGAACCUAAAAAACACUAAAAAAAAAAUAGGGAGUGUGCUCAAUCACCCACACUAAAAGCCCAACUUGUAUGGUGAUAAGUUUGCUCCCUAAUGUGGCCACAGCCCAGCAAAUGCUUCCCAAAGAGCUUAAGGAGACGGUUCGAUGAUAAACAAAGGAAGGCCGUG